AGCGCUGCCCAGAAGAGCGACAAUGCCCGCCAGCAGCUGGAGCGACAAAACAAGGAGCUGAAGGCCAAGCUGCAGGAGCUGGAGGGGGCGGUCAAGUCCAAGUUCAAAGCCACCAUCUCAGCCCUGGAAGCCAAGAUUGGGCAGCUGGAGGAACAGCUGGAGCAGGAAGCCAAGGAACGCGCAGCUGCCAACAAACUAGUCCGUCGGACAGAGAAGAAACUGAAAGAGAUCUUCAUGCAGGUCGAAGACGAGCGCCGGCAUGCGGAUCAGUAUAAGGAGCAGGUAGGAGACAGCCAGGCGGGGUGAGGGUCGCACCGUGGACAUGUUUAAGCAAACAAGUCAGAGUUAAGAAUGCUUUGGGAAACUUUCUUCUAUAAGUUGUAAAAAAAAAAAAAAAAAA
rnacentral:lncRNA from 1 species